GAUGAAGAACGUAGCGAAAUGCGAUACUUGGUGUGAACUGCAGAAUCCCGUGAACCAUCGAGUCUUUGAACGCGAGUUGCGCCUCAAGCCAUUAGGUUGAGGGCACGUCUGCCUGGGCGUCACAUAUCGUUGCCUGAUGCCAGUUUCCUCGUGAUGGGUGACUGUGCAGGGCGAAUGAUGGCUUCCCGUGAGCAUUGUUGCCUCAUGGUUGGUUGAAAAUUGAGUCCUUGGUAGGGAGCGCCGUGAUAGAUGGUGGUUGAGUGACGAACGAGACCCAAUCAUGUGAGACCCCUACCGAAUUUGGCCUUCAUGACCCACAUGCGUCUUUGGAACGCUCAUGACGAGACCUCAGGUCAGGCGGGGCUACCCGCUGAGUUUAAGCAUAUCAAUAAGCGGAGGA
rnacentral:misc_RNA from 1 species